rnacentral:rRNA from 1 species
AGUAACAUCCGGAAACGGGUAGCUAAUACCGCAUAGUUUCUUGAUCGCAGGAUUGAGAAAGGAAAGACGGCCUUUGUGCUGUCGCUUAUGGAUGGACCCGCGGCGUAUUAGUUAGUUGGUGAGGUAACGGCGUCACCAAGACGAUGAUACGUAGCCGACCUGAGAGGGUGAUCGGCCACAUUGGGACUGAGACACGGCCCAAACUCCUACGGGAGGCAGCAGUAGGGAAUCUUCCGCAAUGGACGAAAGUCUGACGGAGCAACGCCGCGUGAGUGAAGAAGGGUUCUUCCGGGAUCGUAAAACUCUGUUGUCAGAGAAGAACAAGUUGGAGAGUAACUGCUCCAGCCUUGGACGGUAUCUGACCAGAAAGCCACGGCCUAACUACGUGCCAGCAGCAGC